ACUUGGUUAGUUCCAGCGCCGGUUAAACGGAUGAAGUACUAGGCUGUUCGGAAGGUUACCCCUUCCGGUGGCGCAGCUAACGCAUAAAGUACUCCGCUUGGGAAGUACGCUCGCAAGAGUGAAACUCCAAAGGAAAUGACGGGGAUCCCGCACAAGUAGCGGCACGCAUGUGGUUUAAUUCGAAGCAACGCGAAGAACCUUACCCUAAGCUUGACAUCUUUUGACCGAUGCCUAAUCGCAUCUUUCCCUUUGGGGACAGAAGUGACAGGUGGUGCAUGGUUGUCGUCAGCUCGUGUCGUGAGAUGUUGGGUUAAGUCCCGCAACGAGCGCAACCCUUGCCUUUAGUUGCCAGCAUUAAGUUGGGCACUCUAGAGGGACUGCCAGGGAUAACCUGGAGGAAGGUGGGGAUGACGUCAAAUCAUCAUGCCCCUUAUGCUUAGGGCUACACACGUGCUACAAUGGGUGGUACGGAGGGCAGCCAAGUCGUGAGGCGGAGCUAAUCCCUUAAAGCCAUUCUCAGUUCGGAUUGUAGGCUGAAACUCGCCUACAUGAAGCUGGAGUUACUAGUAAUCGCAGAUCAGAAUGCUGCGGUGAAUGCGUUCCCGGGUCUUGUACACACCGCCCGUCACACCACGGGAGUUGGGGGCGCCCGAAGCCGGAUUGCUAACCUUUUGGAAGCGUCCGUCGAAGGUGAAAUCAAUAAGUGGGGUGAAGUCGUAACAAGGUAACCGUAAAUCGAUUCCGA
rnacentral:rRNA from 1 species